rnacentral:rRNA from 1 species
UACGAAGGGGGCUAGCGUUGUUCGGAAUUACUGGGCGUAAAGCGCACGUAGGCGGAUAUUUAAGUCAGGGGUGAAAUCCCAGAGCUCAACUCUGGAACUGCCUUUGAUACUGGGUAUCUUGAGUAUGGAAGAGGUAAGUGGAAUUGCGAGUGUAGAGGUGAAAUUCGUAGAUACUCGCAGGAACACCAGUGGCGAAGGCGGCUUACUGGUCCAUAACUGACGCUGAGGUGCGAAAGCGUGGGGAGCAAACAG